AUUGAACGCUGGCGGAAUGCUUUACACAUGCAAGUCGAACGGCAGCACGGACUUCGGUCUGGUGGCGAGUGGCGAACGGGUGAGUAAUGUAUCGGAACGUGCCCAGUCGUGGGGGAUAACGUAGUGAAAAUUACGCUAAUACCGCAUACGAUCUAUGGAUGAAAGCGGGGGAUCGCAAGACCUCGCGCGAUUGGAGCGGCCGAUAUCAGAUUAGGUAGUUGGUGGGGUAAAGGCCCACCAAGCCAACGAUCUGUAGCUGGUCUGAGAGGACGACAGGCCACACUGGACCUGGGACUCGGUCCAGACUCCUACGGGAGGCAGCAGUGGGGAAUUUUGGAAAAUGGGCGAAAGCCUGAUCCAGCCAUGCCGCGUGCAGGAUGAAGGCCCUCGGGUUGUAAACUGCUUUUGUACAGAACGAAAAGGUUUCUACUAAUACUAGGAGCUCAUGACGGGACUGUAAGAAUAAGCACCGGCUAACUACGUGCCAGCAGCCGCGGUAA
rnacentral:rRNA from 1 species